GCCCUCGUCGGUAGACGGCACAGGCGACGCGCCACCCGAUGCCCUGUUCUGUACGUGGCACAGGCGACGCGCCCGCCGAUGCCCUCGUCGGUAGACGGCACAGGCGACGCGCCACCCGAUGCCCUGUUCUGUACGUGGCACAGGCGACGCGCCCGCCGAUGCCCUCUUCUGUACGUGGCACAGGCGACGCGCCCGCCGAUGCCCUCUUCUGUACACGGCACAGGCGACGCGCCCCCCGAUGCCCUCGUCGGUACGCGGCACAGGCGACGCGCCCGCCGAUGCCCUCGUCGGUAGGCGGCACAGGCGACGCGCCCCCCGAUGCCCUCGUCGGUACGCGGCACAGGCGACGCGCCCCCCGAUGCCCUCGUCGGUACGCGGCACAGGCGACGCGCCCCCCGAUGCCCUCGUAGGUACGCGGCA